GACGAACGCUGGCGGCGUGCCUAAUACAUGCAAGUCGAACGCUGAAGAGAGGAGCUUGCUCUUCUUGGAUGAGUUGCGAACGGGUGAGUAACGCGUAGGUAACCUGCCUUGUAGCGGGGGAUAACUAUUGGAAACGAUAGCUAAUACCGCAUAACAAUGGAUGACACAUGUCAUUUAUUUGAAAGGGGCAAUUGCUCCACUACAAGAUGGACCUGCGUUGUAUUAGCUAGUAGGUGAGGUAAUGGCUCACCUAGGCGACGAUACAUAGCCGACCUGAGAGGGUGAUCGGCCACACUGGGACUGAGACACGGCCCAGACUCCUACGGGAGGCAGCAGUAGGGAAUCUUCGGCAAUGGGGGCAACCCUGACCGAGCAACGCCGCGUGAGUGAAGAAGGUUUUCGGAUCGUAAAGCUCUGUUGUAAGUCAAGAACGGGUGUGAGAGUGGAAAGUUCACGCUGUGACGGUAGCUUACCAGAAAGGGACGGCUAACUACGUG
rnacentral:rRNA from 1 species